rnacentral:rRNA from 1 species
UACGUAGGGGGCUAGCGUUGUCCGGAAUCAUUGGGCGUAAAGAGCGUGUAGGCGGUCCGGUAAGUCCGCUGUGAAAGUCGGGGGCUCAACCCUCGAAUGCCGGUGGAUACUGUCGGGCUAGAGUGCGGAAGAGGCGAGUGGAAUUCCUGGUGUAGCGGUGAAAUGCGCAGAUAUCAGGAAGAACACCAUGUCGAAGGCAGCUC